UACUUAGUGGCAGACGGGUGAGUAACAUGUGGGUAUCUACCCUUUGGCCUGGAAUAACACGAGGAAACUUGUGCUAAUACCGGAUAAGUCUUUACGGAGAAAGCUUUAUGCACCAUUGGAUGAGCCCGCACUUGAUUAGUUUGUUGGUAGGGUAAUGGCCUACCAAGACUAUGAUCAAUAGCUGAUUUGAGAGGAUGAUCAGCCACAUUGGGACUGAGACACGGCCCAAACUCCUACGGGAGGCAGCAGUGGGGAAUCUUGCACAAUGGAGGAAACUCUGAUGCAGCGAUGCCGCGUGAGUGAAGAAGGCCUUUGGGUUGUAAAGCUCUUUCGUCGGGGAAGAAAAUGUCUGUACCCGAAUAAGAAGGUCCGGCUAACUUCGUGCCAGCAGCCGCGGUAAUACGAAGGGACCUAGCGUAGUUCGGAAUUACUGGGCUUAAAGAGUUCGUAGGUGGUUGAAAAAGUUGGUGGUGAAAUCCCAGAGCUUAACUCUGGAACUGCCAUCAAAACUUUUCAGCUAGAGUAUGAUAGA
rnacentral:rRNA from 1 species